rnacentral:rRNA from 1 species
GACGAACGCUGGCGGCGUGCCUAAUACAUGCAAGUAGAACGCACAGUUUAUACCGUAGCUUGCUACACCAUAAACUGUGAGUUGCGAACGGGUGAGUAACGCGUAGGUAACCUGCCUGGUAGCGGGGGAUAACUAUUGGAAACGAUAGCUAAUACCGCAUAAUAUUGAUUAUUGCAUGAUAAUUGAUUGAAAGGUGCUAUUGCAUCACUACCAGAUGGACCUGCGUUGUAUUAGCUAGUAGGUGAGGUAACGGCUCACCUAGGCGACGAUACAUAGCCGACCUGAGAGGGUGAUCGGCCACACUGGGACUGAGACACGGCCCAGACUCCUACGGGAGGCAGCAGUAGGGAAUCUUCGGCAAUGGACGAAAGUCUGACCGAGCAACGCCGCGUGAGUGAAGAAGGUUUUCGGAUCGUAAAGCUCUGUUGUAAGAGAAGAACGGGUGUGAGAGUGGAAAGUUCACACUGUGACGGUAGCUUACCAGAAAGGGACGGCUAACUACGUG